CAACCACUUCAGUAUGAAUGGUGGAGCUGCUCAGGAAAACUCUGGUGCAGCAAUUAAGAAAGUUAGUUAGGACAGACGCAGAGAGAGACAGAGACAGCGCACACAUGGUUUCCUGACUGUGUUGAUGAUUUUUAUUCUGCAGUGCAAAAGAUUGAAAGUGAAAGAAAAUGUGUCAGCGCUGGUGCAGAUGUGCGCCUGUGUUGGCAGUUGGAAAAAGAAAAAGACGUGCAAAGUUUGCGCCUGACCGCCAGUGAUGUGGGUUUGCAGUGAAGACUUUCUGAUGAAGAGGAGGACGAAGACUGACAAACUGACGGACUCAUGUAGUGCAGUUGUGUCUCCACUAGAGGGCGACUCCUUCCCACAGGACUAAGGCGCAUGAUUGAGAAAUGUCUCACCACAGGACUAUCAGGCUGGUUUCCACCACAUUUACCCAUCCUGACAACUGAUGGGGUAAUCAACUCAGCAAACCUCAUCGGGUAGGAGUUAACAUUUGACAUAUUGCUGAGUCAGUUUGGGGUCAUGACAUCAUCGUCAUGAGAUGGGGCGGCUGCUGAGUGGUGACCACAGGCAGCGACAGAAGACUUGGUGCUGAAUGUCCUUGUUUGCAGCUGCUGGUUCUUGGCAAAAAAAAACAUUGUGCGGUGGAGUUGCCUCAGGAAAUAAUUUGCUCAAAUGUUGAAAGCAAGAACAAAUUCAAGAGGUUUGCAAGGGCAGUAAGUAAGAUUUUUAUUGUCGCAUUGCACCAGAUGACCAUAAAACACCUGCAGGAGGUCGAUAGCGUCUGUAAUUGUCCAGGUGCUGAGGUUAGCUGGCUUUCCAAACUCUUUCCUUUUCUUUUAGUUUCGCUUGUGGGCUGUUUUGGCUCAAAAUCCCCAGAGCCAGUGAAGUCCUGCAGAUACUGUUAAAAUCCCAGCUGGUGGUGAACACAGCAAGUAACACAUACGUGAAUUAGUACUAUUUUAUUUUUAUAUAUAUAUAUAUAUAUAUAUAUAUAUAUAUAUAUAUAUAUAUAUAUAUAUACAUACAUACAUACAUACAUACACACAGUACAUAUCAUGAAGAGACAAGCUGAAAAAGAAAACAUUUGAAAGUGUUGAAUUAUUAAUAUUUUAGUGAUUUGCAGGCAUCUAUAGACUUUCAGUGAAAGGGACUAAAAUAAGUUGGGAUAAAAUCUAAUCAAAUAGACUGUAAUAUCAUUUUAUUUCUUACAUUAAUAUUGUGUAUAAAUUGUGAAACACUUUUUCACAACCAUAAACUGUUCUAUAAUAAUAUGUUGAGUGAUAAUCACUAAUGAUUUAUUUUAAACGAUGAUCACUAAAGAUUUAUAAGUUUUUAUUGGCAGCUCUGUCCUUUUUCUUGUAAUUUGGGUUCACGGCAGCUUUAUACUUUGUUAACUUGAAAUAAAUGAGUUAGUGCUGAAACCUUGCAUGUAACCUUUCCUUGCGUGAGGAAUCUAUGUUGCUAGUCUUGAUUUACUAUCUAAGAAAUCAAAAGCCAAAAUAUCUUACAAGCUUCAGUUCUUUGUUCAUUAAAUUCACUAGGUUUGGCAGGGAGAUUGGCACUAGCAGACACAUAGGAGCAGUAAGACACAAGAAACACACACAACUACUGACUUGAAAGAAUAAUAGAAAAUAUAAUGAAUAGAAAUACAUUUAUGAAAGGUUCUGUUUAGUUUCAUUUCUCUGGUAUACCUUACUUCCCUUUUCUUAUGUUUUUCAUUGUCUUUAGAAAACCAAAUUAGUUCCACCUGACUCAAAUCUACCUAAGUCAAAUAUAACAUGGAAAUAAUUAGAAAACAAAUAAAUGUACAGCCAAAAUAUACAUAGUAAUACAAUUAUGAUAAAAUAAAGGUUAAAAAAAGAAAAUGCUCAACUCUCAGGUGUAUAGCCAUACGGAAAAAUGAAACGUAUUCUCUGUUUGAACAAGUUGGUUCAGUUAUCAGUUCUUAAUAGGCUCAAGUACAGUAUGCUGUUAUUUUGUUUUUAUAACUGUGUAUUUACAGGUUUUCUCCUAUACUAAACAUCCUCUGAUGACUAAAUUCAUUUGUUCUUCCUCUUUGUGUUGCAGAUAAUAUACCUUGCCUGUAUCUACAUCAAAUAAAUCCUAUUCUAUUACAUCUUGUUUUGGAAUUUAAUAUUAAAAAAAAAAAAGAUCAAAACAGGUAACGGCAAUGAAUGAUGUAAGGUGAUGUAACAGACGUCAUUAGGUCACGGACUAAGGUCUAAAAUUCCUGUGUUUGUUUGACACUCCACCACCCCAUAACCCCAACCUGCUUAUACUUUGUCACCUCGCCUCCUUGCAAAUCCAAGUGAUGGAAAAAGUACUCUACUUCAAUAUAAGUACCAAUACCACAAAGUACAAAUACUCCACUACAAGUACAGUAUAGGCCUACAAUUCCUGCAUAUAAAAUCUUACAUAGCCUAAGUAAAAGUACUUGUUCUGCAGGGACUUUAUAAGAUUCAAAGUGUGAGCUGCAUUUGACUGUUGUGACUACAUGGUUGAGGUGGAGCUACUUUUAAUUUCUACUUUUGGCUCUCUCCAAAGGGUCUAAAAAGAAGAAGAAUGUAUUAUAUAAGGAAUUAUUUUGUUGUAGUUCUUUACUUGACUAAUUCCAUUUGAUGAUAUUUCAUACUUCUACUCUCUUAAGUUUCAGAAGGAAUUUUUUUAUUUUUUAUUUUAUCUGACAGCUUUAGUUACUAGUUAUUUUUUAUAUCAUUAUUUUACUUUGGGAAUCAUAAAAGCUUCUCAAAUACAAAGCAUUGGCAAAGACAUUUUCCCAACUUUAUAUUUGUUUUAUUCUUGGAGGCCCGAAAAGGUAAUUGUGGUCCAUUAUUUCACAAAAAAAAAAGCAAAGAUAAGAGAAUAGUUUAAAACAACAUGGAUUUGUAAAUCAAAUGUUUUUUCUUCUCUUCUACCUGAUUAAUAAUCUCAUGACCCCUGAGAUUUAUUUUUAGACCCUUUUGGAGAGGGCCAAAAGUAGAAAUGACUGGUACUGUAUUUACCCUCAUGGCAUUUUUAAAUGCAUGUAACUCUGUUAAUAUAAAACCCCUUCAUCUCUCAGUACGUGACUUUUCCUAAAUAGGGUAGUGAGUUAUGGGGGUUGCGGUGUAAAAAGAAAACCACCAGCAGGUAAAUUUGACCCCCACUGUAUAUUAGCAUUCACAACACCGCCUAGAAAGGCCAGCAUUCCAUUUACUCCUAAUUCAUAAUAAUCAUUGUGCUUUUUUUAUCUUUUAUUUUCAGACAUUGUGUUGUUUCAAAAAUCUCAUCUGCAGCAGCAGAGACAAGAAAUCAAAAGUGAGAUAAAAAUGCUGAUUUAAAAAAAAAAAAAAAGGAAGAAAGGCAGAUCCUGGGUGGGUGUGUUAGUGUUUGAAAGAGAGGGUGUGAACUAAAGGAAGAGAGGGACAAAGAGCGAACAGGAAAGAGUGUGUGUGUGAAAAAGAGCAAGACGGUGUGAGUCAGAGGAGAGAGAGAAUGAGGAGGGGAGAUAUAUUUGUCUGCCUAUGAAGCUUGUUUGGGAUACCAGCCUGUUAAAGUUUAGCAGAAGUGAAUCCUGUCUGUAAGCAUCUGAUGACAAUACACCAAUAAAACAUCUCAGACCGAGGAAGCGGUCUGUUGUUGUUGGUGUGUUUGAAGGAGAACUACAGUUCACGUUUCUGUAAAGUACAUUUAGGACAUGUUCACAUACACGUUUGCUUCGACACCCACUGGCGAGAAUUAUUCAAAACUGAACACUUUUUAUUUUCAACAACGCUGCAAAGUGAUAAUGACAGCAGACAGCAAGUGACCAAAACUGUACUCUACAUUAUUUAAAACUCUCGACUGGAGGGUGAAACCUAAUUUCACAGAAUGCAAAGUGCAACGACACAUCUCACGUUUGAUUGACACAAAAAAAAAAAAACCUGGGUUUGCUCACACUCAACUGGUAGUUAAAUGUCCUAACUGUACAUUUAAACUGUACGAAAAAUAAACCUUCAUUCAUACAAGUUGAAGUAUACAUCUAACACUUUGCAAGUUGAAUUGACAUUUAAUAACAGUAUAUCUUAAUGGAACCAUAUCUUGGUUCAGAUUUAAUCACUUUUUAAAGGAUAGUUGUUUAUUUUUGAGCAAAGGAAUUGUAUUGAUUUCAUUAGGAUCAGUAUAUCUGGCCAAUAACAGCCUUUCAUCAAAUGUCAAUAACUCAAUGUAUUUCUAUAAACAUAGUUUUCUUUUGUUUUGCACAUUUUAUUUUUCAAGUUCUUCUUUACUUAUUUAGAAAUCCUUUUUCCAUUAUGAAAAGUAACUUAGCACUGGCUGGAAACCAUUUCUAUUUUUUUUUUGCUGACCUGCAUUGGUUUUGCUUCUCACCUUCCUGCAACGAUGUGGAAGUGUAAUUGAGGAUGUUCUGACCACACCCAGCAGAGGUGCAAAAGACUUUAAAUGUUCAACCAGAGAGGGCAGUGAAACACUGCUUUUUAGCCUGGUAUUAAAGGCACAGUUGGACAUUUUGAAAAAAUGCGCUAUUUACCUUUUACAUUUUUUUAAGAUUAUUUUUUGGGCAUUUUUAGGCCUUUAUUGACAAGACAGCUGAAGAAAUGAAAGGGGAGUCCCGCUUCGUCGAGGCGUCAACCUCUAUAUAUGGGCACCCGCUAUACCAACUGAGCUAUCCGGGCACCCCGCUAUUUACCUUUUGACGAAGAGUUAUAUGAGAGGUUUGAUACCACAGCCAGGGUGCGAUUUGCCAGCGGGGAUGCGUGGAAUUUCCCCCUUUCUGGUCUAUAUAUCCCUGCCUCGGCUGAAUUAUUUUUUAGCCCCGGUGGGGACAAAAUCAAAGUGAUCAUCUACGUCACCAUUAGCCUAGACCAGUGGUUCUCAACCUUUUUGAGUCGUGACCCCCAGAAGAAUGAGGCUGGUGUUCACAACCCCCCAAACCCAUCUGCAAUGAAAAAGAGAGCUGCAAAGAGCUUUUUUUUCUUUUAUCAAACUGAUCAUUAGAUGCAAACAUUUACAUGUUUCCGCAUGAUCCAAUGGUAUUUAUCCCAUGUUUAUAACCUAAGGGGUCGAACAUUAGUGUUAUUAUAAUUAUGAUUAUAAUAGUAAUUAUUAAUUGUUUGCAAAUUGACAGAUUAGAGGAGAAUGGACUGGAAAAAAUCUUCUCUCUGAGAAUGCAAGUCUGCUUUCAGAGAGGCUGAGCAAUGCAUUAAAUCAUGAAACAUGCAUUAGUUGAGCAUUACUUAAUUAUAUUAUUCAUACCCUUAUUAUAAAGUGUUGCCAAUUUCUCUUUUGAACUAGAGUAAACUUUCAUUUACGGUUAAAGUGAUUUACAGAUUUCAUAGAUGGAAGGGUAACGUAGGGACGGCGUGUAGAUGGUGCUCAGUAAGGAUGGAAUUACUCCUACUGAGAGUUCAUGACUGUAUGGGGUUAGAAAAGUCAUAAAUGUAAACAAACAAGAGUUGAUGAAAGUCUGUUUUUUUCUGCAGAGUUGAAAUUGAAGGGUUAUAUCCUUUUUUAUAUACACGUUCUUUAGAUCUUAAUUAGAAACAACUAAGUAAUUACUACAGUUGUCUCACUCAAAAACGGCUAUGUGUAUAUAUUUAACAUUUUGUCUCAUAAUCUGUCUUUUUGAAUGCUAAAAAAAAUAAUACCACCAACUAUUUUUAAACUCAAAGGGAAAAAUCUGUGGCUCUACACUUUUCUCUAACAGCAAAAACAAAAGGCUGGCAACCCCGCAAAAGUCAAGUCAAGUUGAAAAAUCAAGCUUAUAAAAGAAAAGAUCAAAGAUGGUCAAGUAUUCCGCCUUCCUUGAUCAGAAUCAGAAUCAGAAUCAGAAAA